GGCGUAUUUAUACAUUCAAGAGGCAAUAUUCACCCAUAUUUUGACUUUUUCUAUGAGAUAAAAUAUGUUAUUCUUAUUAUGUUUGAAUUAUAAUUAUAGUAUUUAUAUAAUGGACUUGAUUGAUGCAUGGCUGAAUUGUGAUGAAAUUAUACGUGAUUAGACACAUUAAGGUGAAAUUGAUAAGCAUGUAAGCAUUGGGAAAGAUUUGCAGGGUAUGAGGAUACUGGAAUUAGGCUCAAAAAUCAU
rnacentral:lncRNA from 1 species